CCUACGGGCGGCAGCAGUGGGGAAUAUUGCACAAUGGGCGCAAGCCUGAUGCAGCCAUGCCGCGUGUGUGAAGAAGGCCUUCGGGUUGUAAAGCACUUUCAGCGGGGAGGAAGGCGGUGAGGUUAAUAACCUCAUCGAUUGACGUUACCCGCAGAAGAAGCACCGGCUAACUCCGUGCCAGCAGCCGCGGUAAUACGGAGGGUGCAAGCGGUAAUCGGAAUUACUGGGCGUAAAGCGCACGCAGGCGGUCUGUCAAGUCGGAUGUGAAAUCCCCGGGCUCAACCUGGGAACUGCAUUCGAAACUGGCAGGCUAGAGUCUUGUAGAGGGGGGUAGAAUUCCAGGUGUAGCGGUGAAAUGCGUAGAGAUCUGGAGGAAUACCGGUGGCGAAGGCGGCCCCCUGGACAAAGACUGACGCUCAGGUGCGAAAGCGUGGGGAGCAAACAGGAUUAGAUACCCGUGUAGUC
rnacentral:rRNA from 1 species